AUUGAACGCUGGCGGCAGGCCUAACACAUGCAAGUCGAGCGAGCGGCGGACGGGUGAGUAAUGUCUGGGAAACUGAGUGAUGGAGGGGGAUAACUACUGGAAACGGUAGCUAAUACAGCAUACCAUCCGAUGUGCACAGAUGGGAUUAGCUAGUAGGUGGGGUAACGGCUCACCUAGGCGCCGAUCCCUAGCUGGUCUGAGAGGAUGACCAGCCACACUGGGACUGAGACACGGCCCAGACUCCUACGGGAGGCAGCAGUAGGGAAUCUUCGGCAAUGGACGAAAGUCUGACCGAGCAACGCCGCGUGAGUGAAGAAGGUUUUCGGAUCGUAAAGCACUUUAAGUUGGGAGGCGUUACCAACAGAAUAAGCACCGGCUAACUUCGUGCCAGCAGCCGCGGUAAUAC
rnacentral:rRNA from 1 species